GAUGAACGCUGGCGGCGUGCUUAGCACAUGCAAGUCGAACGAGAAGUGGAGACGGACACCUUCGGGCGGAAGACUUUACUUCGAGUGGCGGACGGGUGAGUAACGCGUGGGUAACCUGCCUCAUACAGGGGGAUAACAGUUGGAAACGACUGUUAAUACCGCAUAAGACCACAGCACCGCAUGGUGCGGGGGUAAAAACUCCGGUGGUAUGAGAUGGACCCGCGUUCGAUUAGCCAGUUGGCGGGGUAACGGCCCACCAAAGCGACGAUCGAUAGCCGAUCUGAGAGGAUGACCGGCCACAUUGGGACUGAGACACGGCCCAAACUCCUACGGGAGGCAGCAGUGGGGAAUAUUGCACAAUGGGGGAAACCCUGAUGCAGCGACGCCGCGUGAGUGAAGAAGUAUUUCGGUAUGUAAAGCUCUAUCAGCAGGGAAGAAAAUGACAGUACCUGAGUAAGAAGCCCCGGCUAACUACGUG
rnacentral:rRNA from 1 species